rnacentral:rRNA from 1 species
GAUGAACGCUGACAGAAUGCUUAACACAUGCAAGUCAACUUGAACUUCGGUUUGGGUGGCGGACGGGUGAGUAACGCGUAAAGAACUUGCCUCACAGAUAGGGACAACAUUUGGAAACGAAUGCUAAUACCUGAUAUUAUGAUUUUAGGGCAUCCUAGGAUUAUGAAAGCUAUAUGCGCUGUGAGAGAGCUUUGCGUCCCAUUAGCUAGUUGGAGAGGUAACGGCUCACCAAGGCGAUGAUGGGUAGCCGGCCUGAGAGGGUGAUCGGCCACAAGGGGACUGAGACACGGCCCUUACUCCUACGGGAGGCAGCAGGGGGGAAUAUUGGACAAUGGACCAAGAGUCUGAUCCAGCAAUUCUGUGUGCACGAUGAAGUUUUUCGGAAUGUAAAGUGCUUUCAGUUGGGAAGAAAAAAAUGACGGUACCAACAGAAGAAGUGACGGCUAAAUACGUG